rnacentral:rRNA from 1 species
GUUUCGGCUAGGGGGUCAUCCCGACUUACCAACCCGAUGCAAACUGCGAAUACCGAAGAAUGUUAUCACGGGAGACACACGGCGGGUGCUAACGUCCGUCGUGAAGAGGGAAACAACCCAGACCGCCAGCUAAGGUCCCAAAGUCAUGGUUAAGUGGGAAACGAUGUGGGAAGGCACAGACAGCCAGGAUGUUGGCUUAGAAGCAGCCAUCAUUUAAAGAAAGCGUAAUAGCUCACUGGUCGAGUCGGCCUGCGCGGAAGAUGUAACGGGGCUAAACCAUGCACCGAAGCUGCGGCAGCGACACUAUGUGUUGUUGGGUAGGGGAGCGUUCUGUAAGCCGUUGAAGGUGUGCUGUGAGGCAUGCUGGAGGUAUCAGAAGUGCGAAUGCUGACAUAAGUAACGAUAAUGCGGGUGAAAAACCCGCACGCCGGAAGACCAAGGGUUCCUGUCCAACGUUAAUCGGGGCAGGGUGAGUCGACCCCUAAGGCGAGGCCGAAAGGCGUAGUCGAUGGGAAACAGGUUAAUAUUCCUGUACUUGGUGUUACUGCGA